CGGGGGAGGCCGGAUCCCGGGCUGUGUCCCGGCGCCCUGUGCUCCGGGGCCUGCGCUGUUGGAUUCGCGCUCCCGCCCCGCAGCCCCCU
rfam:Canis lupus familiaris chromosome 16, whole genome shotgun sequence.